UGCCAGACUCCUACGGGAGGCAGCAGUGGGGAAUAUUGCACAAUGGGGGAAACCCUGAUGCAGCGACGCCGCGUGAGUGAAGAAGUAAUUCGUUAUGUAAAGCUCUAUCAGCAGGGAAGAAAAUGACGGUACCUGAGUAAGAAGCCCCGGCUAACUACGUGCCAGCAGCCGCGGUAAUACGGAGGAUGCGAGCGUUAUCCGGAUUUAUUGGGUUUAAAGGGUGCGCAGGCGGCGUGUCAAGUCAGCGGUAAAAUGUCGGGGCUCAACCCCGGCCGGCCGUUGAAACUGGCGUGCUCGAGUUGGAGAGAAGUAUGCGGAAUUCGUGGUGUAGCGGUGAAAUGCAUAGAUAUCACGAAGAACCCCGAUUGCGAAGGCAGCAUACCGGCUCCACACUGACGCUGAGGCACGAAAGCGUGGGUAUCGAACAGGAUUAGAUACCCGAGUAAGC
rnacentral:rRNA from 1 species